CCAAUAACCAAGAUUUAUUGAAGAGACGGGAGAAUUUUGAGGCACAAUAAAAUUAUUCAUCCAUUCAUAUGCUGAAUCUUCAACUAAACUUCUUUGGGGUGGACAAAUGUCAAGCAAACAAAACCUGCCUUACACAUAGUCGGACUAUCAGCAAAGAUGCUGGUGCAAGGCUCUUUAUCGUGACUGAUGCUAUCUGAACCUCUUCAUCCUAGCCCCUCCCAAGAGAUGGAGAUUAAUAGUUAUCCCUAGUGAUAGGAGGUUAAUUUAAGUGCAACUGCAGCCAGAGAUAAUUUGGAUUUAUUUCUGGUUUAUUUGGUUCUCUUGUGAAUAGACUCCAUUGGGCAAGACAGUCACUACCAUUAGCCUAAGUUUAUAUUGGUUAAGGGACUAAUAAAUAAGGGUCUAGAAUGAAUCUAUCAAGGGAUUUGACAAAAUAAUUUUUCAAAUUAUCACAAAAACCUUUGAACAUCUGACAUCUCUAGAACCAUCUCACCUGACUAGUAGGAUCAUUUAUUUAUAUGACUUCACAAUGAAUUCUGGAGCACUCUAUAUUCAGUAUUUUACUAUUAUGAGCCGUUAAGCAGUAUUAAGGUUCUGGACUCCUGCAGAACUCAGGCACCAACCACCUCUCUAGACACAACUCCUACUUGUCUGAACGUCCUGAAUUCAACCUAAGUUUUCAAGAAACUACUGUUUUCUUAAUGUAUAUUCCAUGGGAAUCAGUUAAGACUCUCAGCCUUCUUCCUAUUUUUAAGAAUGGAGAACAGGUGUGACUUCUGGGAUAGUGCUACUUAGCCAGCUCCCAAGAUAGCCCACAGUUUGAUACAAAUGCAUAAAUAAUAAUGGGCUGCAUACCACAUCAAGCCAGAAAGUCCCUGGCUUACACACUGGACUCGAACAGAAGAGAGUUGUACACACACAACUCUUUGGUGUGUAGAGCCUCUUUAGAAAACAGCUCUUCCCCUGCUUGCUUAGAAGCAAGCAUAUAACAGAACCAUUGGCUAUUGACCUAGCUUCCCCAC
rnacentral:lncRNA from 1 species